AGAAUGCUCAGAGGGGGGAGCGUUUCAGCAAGGGCAGGGGGAGAGGAGAGUAAACGCUUUGCAUACAGAGAGUUUUGGUUUGGUUUUAUUUACAGGUUUAGAUAGGGUUCGGUUCGGUUCGGUUCGGUUCGGUUCAGAGGUUCAGAGAGAGGGAGUUCUAUGGUUCGGUUCAGAUCACAAUUUAUAUAGAAAAUCGGUUCAAUUAUAAAAAGGGUUCGGUUCUGUUCGGUUCGGUUCCGAAACUAUAUCGGUUAGAUUAUAAAAAGGGUUCGGUUCUGUUCAGUUCGGUUCCGAAACUAUAUCGGUUUGAUUAUAAAAGGGUUCGGUUCUGUUCGGUUCGGUUCCGAAACUAUAAGAAAUAUUGGUUCAAGUUCGGUUCAAGUUAGAAUUGGUUUGG
rnacentral:lncRNA from 1 species